GAUUAACGCUGGCGGCGUGCAUAACACAUGCAAGUCGAACGAUGAAACUUAACUGAUUUCUUCGGAAUGAUUUUAAGUGGAUUAGUGGCGGACGGGUGAGUAACGCGUGAGUAACCUGCCUUGGAGAAGGGGAUAGCCUUUGGAAACGAAGAAUAAUACCAUAUGAUAUGAUAAUAUCUCAUGAUAUUAUCAUCAAAGAUUUAUCGCUCUAAGAUGGACUUGCGUCUGAUUAGUUAGUUGGUGAGGUAACAGCUCACCAAGGCAGCGAUCAGUAGCCGGCUUGAGAGAGUGUACGGCCACAUUGGGACUGAGACACGGCCCAGACUCCUACGGGAGGCAGCAGUGGGGAAUUUUGCACAAUGGGGGAAACCCUGAUGCAGCGACGCCGCGUGAUUUAGAAGGCCUUCGGGUUGUAAAAAUCUUUUGUAUGGGAAGAAAAUGACAGUACCAUACGAAUAAGGACCGGCUAAUUACGUG
rnacentral:rRNA from 1 species